GUAAGGUUCUGAACCAAUUAACAACUUGGCUGAUUUGUUACCCUUGCAGCCUGCACCAAAUAAUUCAAACAUCCAACAGGAAGCUACGCCACCUAUUGACAAAAGAGCUGCCACUACUCCAGAUUCUAAUGCAACUGAAGCUGCAUCAGUUCAGACUACACCAAAAAGUGCAUCCAUCCCAGAGGCAGCAAGGCAAGUGGAGAUACAUGCAACGAAAACACCAUCCUCUAAGGCCAAGAGAAGUCUUUCUCAAACCAACAAGAAUUAUAUUAGUUCACAUAACUUGAUGAAUGCUACUGUGAAACGUAUACGGACUAGAAGCCAGCAGGAUAUUUGAACUUGCUAAAUGGAUCAAUCGCACACUGAUGCCUUCCAUGAUCAACACAAAGAUAGUAUGCAUCAAUGUCAAACAAUGUUUCUUGGAUCCUACAUAAGACAGAUGUAGUUGUGUUGUUGACCCAACAGUAGCUAGCUAGCUAUCUAUGAACUAUUCUCAAUUCUGAAAUUGUACUGCAAUUUGGCACUUGGCAUUUUAUUAUCUACUCAUUAGCAGAGUUAAUGUUGGAUUCCUUUCA